rnacentral:rRNA from 1 species
GACGAACGCUGGCGGCGUGCUUAACACAUGCUAGUCGAACGGAAAGGCCCUGCUUGCAGGGUACUCGAGUGGCGAACGGGUGAGUCACACGUGGGUGAUCUGCCCUGCACUUCGGGAUAAGCCUGGGAAACUGGGUCUAAUACCGGAUAGGAGCCAUUUUUAGCGUGAUGGUUGGAAAGUUUUUUCGGUGUAGGAUGAGCUCGCGGCCUAUCAGCUUGUUGGUGGGGUAAUGGCCUACCAAGGCGGCGACGGGUAGCCGGCCUGAGAGGGUGGACGGCCACGUUGGGACUGUGAGACGGCCCAGACUCCUACGGGAGGCAGCAGUGGAGAAGAUUGCACAAUGGGCGCAAGCCUGAUGCAGCGACGCCGCGUGGGGGAUGACGGCCUUCGGGUUGUAAGCUCCUUUCGCUAGGGACGAAGCUUUUUGUGACGGUACCUAGAUAAGAAGCACCGGCUAACUACGUG